GAUUAACGCUAGCGGCAGGCCUAAUACAUGCAAGUCGAACGGCAGCACGAGUAGCAAUACUUGGUGGCGAGUGGCGCACGGGUGCGUAACACGUAUGCAAUCUACCCUUAACUGGGGGAUAGCCCCGAGAAAUCGGGAUUAAUACCCCAUAUCAUUGCGAUGGGGCAUCUCAUUGCAAUUAAAGUUCCGGCGGUUUUGGAUGAGCAUGCGCGACAUUAGUUAGUUGGUGAGGUAACGGCUCACCAAGACUUCGAUGUCUAGGGGUUCUGAGAGGAUUAACCCCCACACUGGUACUGAGACACGGACCAGACUCCUACGGGUGGCAG
rnacentral:rRNA from 1 species